GGCGCGGUAGCCAAGUGGUAAGGCAGCAGUCUGCAAAACUGCUAUGCGUCGGUUCAAUUCCGACCCGCGCCU
rnacentral:tRNA from 1 species